rnacentral:rRNA from 1 species
UACGGAGGAUGCGAGCGUUAUCCGGAUUUAUUGGGUUUAAAGGGUGCGUAGGCGGGUUAUCAAGUCAGCGGUAAAAUCGUGGAGCUCAACUCCAUCCAGCCGUUGAAACUGAUGAUCUUGAGUGGGCGAGAAGUAUGCGGAAUGCGUGGUGUAGCGGUGAAAUGCAUAGAUAUCACGCAGAACUCCGAUUGCGAAGGCAGCAUACCGGCGCCCGACUGACGCUGAAGCACGAAAGCGUGGGGAGCAAACAGG